CCGCGAGUCGUAACAUCAGUUACGGCGGUAGAAGAGCGUUGUAACGGGGGAGAAGCCGAAAUGAGAAUUGAGGUGGACCUGUUACAAGUGACCAUGCAGGCAUGAGUAGCGAAAAACCGGAUGAGAAUUCCGGUCACCGAAAACCUAAGGUUUCCCGGGGAAGGUUCGUCCGCCCGGGGUUAGUCGGAACCUAAGGCGAGGCCGAAAGGCGUAGUCGAUGGAGGACAGGUUAAUAUUCCUGUACCACCUUGCUUGAGUGAUGGAGGGACGCAGUAAGUCAGGCGAGCCAACUGCUGAAUAUGUUGGUCGAAUCCCGUAGGGCGUGUCAUAGGCAAAUCCGUGACACAUCAGCCUGAGAGGCGUAAGGUAUCCGGGCGCAAGUCUGGAGAAUUCGCUGUGACUACACUGACGAGAAAAGCUUCUAAACGUUGACGGCAGGGUGUCCGUACCGUAAACCGACACAGGUAGGUGAGGCGAGUAGCCUAAGGUGCGCGAGAGAAACCAACGUUAAGGAACUCGGCAAAUCAGCCCCGUAACUUCGGAAUAAGGGGUGCCGUUUCAGGUGAAGGGAUUUACUCCCCGAGCCCGGGACGGUUGCAAUAAAGAGGCCGGUGCGACUGUUUAACAAAAACAUAGCUCUAUGCUAACUCGUAAGAGGAUGUAUAUGGAGUGACACGUGACCAAUGCCAAAAGGUCAAUGGGAGAGGUUAGCGCAAGCGAAGCUUCGAUCUGAAGCCCUGGUGAAUGUCGGCCGUAACUAUAACGGUCCUAAGGUAGCGAAAUUCCUUGUCGGGUAAGUUCCGACCUGCACGAAUCGUGUAACGAGUUGGGUGCUGUCUCAGGGAGAAGCUCAGUGAAAUUGUAGUCGCGGUUAAGAUGCCGCGUACCCGCAGAAGGACGGAAAGACCCUAUGAACCUUUACUAUAAUUUGAUAUUGGCGUUUGAUUUUCAAUACGUAGGAUAGCCGGGAGGCUAUGAGUUGUCACUCCAGGGUGAUGAUGAGCCGCAAUGUGAAAUACCGGUUUUUAACUAUUAGGCGUCUAACCACAUACCGUAAGCCGGUUGUGGGACAGUGUUAGUGGGUCAGUUUGACUGGGGCGGUCUCCUCCCAAAAAGUAACGGAGGACUGCGAAGGUUCCCUCAGACCGGAUGGUAAUCGGUCGUCGAGGAUAUGGCUAAAAGGGAGCUUAACUGUGAGACCUACAAGUCGAGCAGAUGGGAAACCAGGCCCAAGUGAUCCGGCGAUAGCUCGUGGGAGCGUCGUCGCUUAUGGGACAAAAGGUACUCUAGGGAUAACAGGCUGAUUUCGCCCAAGCGUUCAUAGCGACGGCGAAGUUUGGCACCUCGAUGUCGGCUCAUCACAUCCUGGGGCUGUAGAAGGUCCCAAGGGUUUGGCUGUUCGCCAAUUAAAGUGGUACGCGAGCUGGGUUCAGAACGUCGUGAGACAGUUCGGUCCCUAUCUGUCGUGGGCGAAGGAUAUUUGAAAGGAGCUGUCCCUAGUACGAGAGGACCGGGAUGGACGCACCUCUGGUGCACCAGUUGUCACGCCAGUGGCACAGCUGGGCAGCUAUGUGCGGAACGGAUAAACGCUGAAAGCAUCUAAGCGUGAAGCCGCCUCCAAGAUAAGAUAUCCCAUAGCAUAAGCUAGUAAGACCCCUCAUGGACUAAGAGGUUGAUAGGCUGCAUGUGUAAGCGCGGUGACGCGUUUAGCUUGGCAGUACUAAUAGGUCGAGGGCUUGACUUU
rnacentral:rRNA from 1 species